AUUCAUAUACAUGGUUGUUCCUGUGCCUUUCCUCCUGGGGGCCCGGUGUGCAGCUGCUACAAACAGCAGCCUCUUUGGUAGCGUAUGCAGCCUGUUGCUUGUAUAGGUUGCUCUAAGGGACCUUGGAGACAUUC
ensembl:snoRNA SNORA70 Small nucleolar RNA SNORA70